AUUUUUUCAUGUGAAUUAGGAUAAAAGAAUAAAAGAGGGACUUCUAUUUUUGUCUUUGUUGCAUCUUUGAUGCUCAAGAGAGUCGAUGAAAAGCGACAAUUUAUAAACAAUGUCAGAGAUGAUGCUGCAUUCCUACUCAGCUGGCUCCACGAGCUUGAUAAUAUCGAAUCAUUGACAGUCUCUUCUAAUACUCUUCAGGUUCUCUCCUUUGCUCCUGAUUUGUUCAAGGUUAAUUUCACUUCCUUGCGUCACUUGGAGUCACUACAAGUAGAAAUGAAACCGCUUACACAUGAAUUAAACUCAGAAUUGAGUAGUGAACUUCAUAACUUUAUUCGAAAUUCAUAUUCGAAGGAAGAUACUUUCAUACCUAAAAGAGUAGUGUACUUUUUGAUUCAAAAUUCACUGUCAGCAACAGUUAACAUCAUACCAUAUGAUGAUUAAGAAGAAAAGGCACAUUGGAGGAAUUUUAUAUGCAGAAGUUUUUGCAAGAAAUUGAAAUCAAGGGAGUCCUUGAAGUGUGUGGAGACCCUAUAACAAGAACACUUUUUUAAGCGAAAUCUUUCUACUAUCUUGAUAAAACAUUCAACUAUAUUAUAUUUUCUAUUUUAUUUUAUGUAUUCGACUU